GGGAGGUAGUGACAAUAAAUAACAAUACAGGGCUCUUAUGGGUCAUGUAAUUGGAAUGAGUACAAUUUAAAUCCCUUAACGAGGAACAAUUGGAGGGCAAGUCUGGUGCCAGCAGUCGCGGUAAUUCCAGCUCCAAUAGCGUAUAUUAAAGUUGUUGCAGUUAAAAAGCUCGUAGUUGAAUUUCGGGAUUAGUACGCUGGUCGUGCCUUCGGUACGUACUGGUGUUACUGAUUCCUACCUUCUGACGAACCAUUAUGUCAUUAGUUUGGUGUGGUGGGGAAUCAGGACUGUUACUUUGAAAAAAUUAGAGUGUUUAAAGCAGGCUCGCGCUUGAAUACAUUAGCAUGGAAUAAUGAAAUAGGACGUUGAUCCUAUUUUGUUGGUUUCUAGGAUUGACGUAAUGAUUAAUAGGGAUAGUUGGG
rnacentral:rRNA from 1 species